rnacentral:tRNA from 1 species
GGCCGGUUGGCUCAGUGGUUUGAGCACGGUGCUGGCAACAAUGAUAACACCGAGUUCGCGGGUUCAAUUCCCGCUUGGUCCC